rnacentral:tRNA from 1 species
AGUUAAUGAGCUUGUAUAAGCUUUUGUUUUGAAAACAAAAGAAAGAAAUUAAAUUUUCUAUUAACUU